UGGGUAUUUAGCCUCUCACUCUGGCUCUGCGCCCUGUGAGUCUUAAUUAACACCAUUCUCCUGGGUAAGCGGUUACCCUGCCAGGAGCUACCCUGGCCUCUGCUGCUUUCCACAGAUGAUGCUUGCUGCUCUGUCCCCUUUUGCCUGCAGCCCAAUCUGGCCAAGGGAAGGAUAUUUCAGCUGUUGGCUCGGUGGCCACUCCACAAUUGCUGUUCAGCGACAUGGCAACACCCUUCCCCUUCUGCCAGGCACCAGCUGCUGCAUGCUGGGAAAAGAGGAACUUAAAAUUGUUCUUGGCUGAGUCUUUCAGCAACUUGGCAGCCCUGAACUCAUGGAUAUUUUGAUACUUACCACACCCUGCCUGUCUCACCUACACUUCCUUGACUGAUACUAAGAUGCUGCAACUAGUAUUAGCUCUGGCCUUUCCUACAAUAUUGAAGUUCCUGUUUGCUCUGUGUCUCUUCUCUGGCUCUGAAGAUGGGCACUGAUGAUGAGAGUUCUCUUUUCAUUCCGAGAAUCUUCUACAACAUGACCCGAACACCACAGGACUCUGUUGGUGUUUGGUACAGGUCUGCAAGCCACCUACAGCCACGUUGGUUGAAACGGGAUCAAAGAAAAGGAAUGUUGAAUCAUUUUUUCCAUAUAAAUAUCCGUGUUGAAUCCAGUGUUAGUUCCAGAAAAGACAACCCCCUCUUUCUCCGAAUUGUUAGCCUCUUCGUGAACUCGGAAACUACGUGUUUGUGAUUCUGGCUCAAGGGCAAGAGAAUCAAGCACAGAUGGAGACAAAACUUUUCUUCCUAUUGGUCCACUUAUCCCAGGAUCUGGCAGAGCCUCUCAGGAGACAGCCAUAUCGGGCUUCGGUCAGCAAGCACUUCCUCACAUCCACAAUAGCGUCCAGGUUUGGUGACUGUAUAUGGGAUGGAUCUCCAGGUGAGGCAGUCUCUGAAAGGAUGAACGGGUGUUUGAAGGCAG
rnacentral:lncRNA from 1 species